UUGUUGUAAGUGUGUAAGGGCGUUCGGUGGAUGCCUUGGUACCAGGAGCCGAUGAAGGACGUGGUAGGCCGCGAUAGUCCUCGGGGAGUUGUCAAACGAGCUGUGAUCCGAGGGUGUCCGAAUGGGGAAACCCAGCACGAGUGAUGUCGUGUUACCCACCUCUGAAUGUAUAGGGGGUGUGGAGGGAACGUGGGGAAGUGAAACAUCUCAGUACCCAUAGGAAGAGAAAACAAAAGUGAUUCCGUGAGUAGUGGCGAGCGAAAGCGGAUGAGGCUAAACCAUGCGCAUGUGAUACCGGGUAGGGGUUGUGUGUGUGGUGUUGUGGGGUUCAUCUUCUUCCAUCUGCCUGUGGAAGCGUGAGUCAGAAAAUCGUGUGUUAGGUGAAGUGGCCUGGAAUGGUCUGCCGUAGACGGUGAGAGUCCGGUAGCUGAAAACACAUGGUCUUGCGUGAUGUUCUCCCAAGUAGCAGCGGGCUCGUGGAAUCUGCUGUGAAUCUGCCGGGACCACCCGGUAAGCCUGAAUACUUCCUGGUGACCGAUAGCGGACAAGUACCGUGAGGGAAAGGUGAAAAGUACCCCGGGAGGGGAGUGAAAUAGUACCUGAAACCGGACGCUUACAAUCCGUCAGAGCCUGCGCCUUCGGGGUGGGUGAUGGCGUGCCUUUUGAAGAAUGAGCCUGCGAGUUAGUGCUCGGUGGCGAGGUUAACCCGUGUGGGGUAGCCGUAGCGAAAGCGAGUCUGAAUAGGGCGUUUGAGUCGCCGGGUCUAGACCCGAAGCGGAGUGAUCUACCCAUGGCCAGGGUGAAGCGACGGUAAGACGUCGUGGAGGCCCGAACCCACUUCAGUUGAAAAUGGAGGGGAUGAGCUGUGGGUAGGGGUGAAAGGCCAAUCAAACUCCGUGAUAGCUGGUUCUCCCCGAAAUGCAUUUAGGUGCAGCGUCACAUGUUUCUUACCGGAGGUAGAGCUACUGGAUGGCCGAUGGGCCCCACAGGGUUACUGACGUCAGCCAAACUCCGAAUGCCGGUAAGUGAGAGUGUGGCAGUGAGACUGCGGGCGAUAAGGUUCGUAGUCGAGAGGGAAACAGCCCAGAUCGCCGGCUAAGGCCCCUAAGCGUGUACUAAGUGGAAAAGGAUGUGGGGUCGCGAAGACAACCAGGAGGUUGGCUUAGAAGCAGCCACCCUUGAAAGAGUGCGUAAUAGCUCACUGGUCAAGUGAUCCUGCGCCGACAAUGUAGCGGGGCUCAAGUACACCGCCGAAGCCGCGGCACUCACACAAUAGCCCGUUCUCCGUUUACGGAUGGUGAACCAGGUGUGUGGGUGGGUAGGGGAGCGUCCUGCAUCCGUGGAAGCCACAGAGUGAUCUAGUGGUGGAGGGUGUGGGAGUGAGAAUGCAGGCAUGAGUAGCGAAAGCAGAGUGAGAAACUCUGCCGCCGAAUGACCAAGGGUUCCUGGGCCAGGCUAAUCCGCCCAGGGUGAGUCGGGACCUAAGGCGAGGCCGACAGGCGUAGUCGAUGGACAACGGGUUGAUAUUCCCGUACCCGUGUAUCCGCGCCCAUGCUGAAUCAGUUGUACUAACCAUCCAGAUCCCCCAGGAGCACCUUCGGGUGCCGGGUGGGGUGAUGCAUGGGACCUUGGCUGGUAGUAGGCAAGCGAUGGGGUGACGCAGGAAGGUAGUGGGGCCAGUCAGUGGUUGUACUGGUGUAAGCCUGUAGGGCGUGUUCUAGGCAAAUCCGGAACACAGUGAGCCUGAGAGGUGAUGCGUAGCCGUUGCGGUGAAUUCCAUGAUCCUAUGCUGCCGAGAAAAGCCUCUAGUGAGUUGGUACACGGCCCGUACCCCAAACCAACACAGGUGGUCAGGUAGAGAAUACUAAGGCGAUCGAGAGAACUGUGGUUAAGGAACUCGGCAAAAUGCCCCCGUAACUUCGGGAGAAGGGGGACCCAUCCUGGUGACGAGAUUUACUCUCUGAGCUGGUGUGGGUCGCAGAGACCAGAGAGAAGCGACUGUUUACUAAAAACACAGGUCCGUGCGAAGUCGUAAGACGAUGUAUACGGACUGACGCCUGCCCGGUGCUGGAAGGUUAAGAGGACCGGUUAGUUCCUUUCGGGGAGCGAAGCUGAGAAUUUAAGCCCCAGUAAACGGCGGUGGUAACUAUAACCAUCCUAAGGUAGCGAAAUUCCUUGUCGGGUAAGUUCCGACCUGCACGAAUGGCGUAACGACUUCUCUGCUGUCUCAACCACAGACUCGGCGAAAUUGCAGUACGAGUAAAGAUGCUCGUUACGCGCGGCAGGACGAAAAGACCCCGGGACCUUCACUAUAGCUUGGUAUUGGUGUUCGGUUCGGUUUGUGUAGGAUAGGUGGGAGACUGUGAAGUGGGCACGCCAGUGUUCAUGGAGUCGUUNNNNNNNNNNNNNNNNNNNNNNNNNNNNNNNNNNNNNNGUAACGGAGGCGCCCAAAGGUUCCCUCAGCCUGGUUGGCAAUCAGGUGUUGAGUGUAAGUGCACAAGGGAGCUUGACUGUGAGACGUACAUGUCGAGCAGGGACGAAAGUCGGGACUAGUGAUCCGGCACCGGCAAGUGGAAGCGGUGUCGCUCAACGGAUAAAAGGUACCCCGGGGAUAACAGGCUGAUCUUCCCCAAGAGUCCAUAUCGACGGGAUGGUUUGGCACCUCGAUGUCGGCUCGUCGCAUCCUGGGGCUGGAGUAGGUCCCAAGGGUUGGGCUGUUCGCCCAUUAAAGCGGCACGCGAGCUGGGUUUAGAACGUCGUGAGACAGUUCGGUCUCUAUCCGCCGCGCGCGUAAGAAACUUGAGGAAACCUGUCCCUAGUACGAGAGGACCGGGACGGACGAACCUCUGGUGUGCCAGUUGUCCCGCCAGGGGCACCGCUGGUUAGCUACGUUCGGAAGGGAUAACCGCUGAAAGCAUCUAAGCGGGAAGCCUGUUCCAAGAUGAGGUUUCUCACCCCCUUU
rnacentral:rRNA from 1 species